CUGGCUGUGUCUUGGUCAGCAUGGAGCACUAAAUUAUCUUGCAGAGCAAGAUAAGUCUGCUGUUACCCAGCGGUUGCAAGCACAGAAUCUGUGUAAGUGUAGGCUUGUACACUGAGACUGUGAAAUGUCCUCCCCAGGGCCAUGAACACACUUCACCUAAAAUUAGCUCUCCUUGGAGAAUUUGACUUGUUACUGGAAGUGAAAUGCUUUAUCAAAAACAAAUAAAGCCAAAACAAAGAAAAGAA